rnacentral:rRNA from 1 species
UACUAGAGUAGCACUCGCAUAUCAAUAAGCGGAGGAAAAGAAACUAACAAGGAUUCCCCUAGUAACGGCGAGUGAAGCGGGAAGAGCUCAAAUUUGAAAUCUUAAAGGGUUUCCCUUUACGAAUUGUAGUUUAAAGAAGUGCUUUCUGUUGAGGUUUUGGUAAAAGUUCUUUGGAAUAGGACAUCAUAGGAGGGUGUGAAUCCCGUAUUUGACCUUUACUUUCAACUUUGUGAUACACUUUCAAAGAGUCGGAUUGUUUGGGAAUGCAGUCCAAAAUGGGUGGUAAAUUUCAUCUAAAGCUAAAUAUUGGCGAGAGACCGAUAGCGAACAAGUACCGUGAGGGAAAGGAUGAAAAGAACUUUGAAAAGAGAGUUAAACAGUACGUGAAAUUGUCAAAAGGGAAGCGUUUGACACCAGUGUUGUUUUUCUGAAAAUCAAUUAAAGAACUGUUUAUGCUAAGUUGUUUAGACUUUAUCAGCUAACUGUUUAGUUUUGAGCUUUUCUUUAAUGCACUUUUCAGUUAACAAGUCAACAUCAAUUUCUUUUGCUGUAAAAAGCUUGAGGAAGGUGGCUUGAGAUUCGUCUUAAGUGUUUAUAGCCUCUUGCCUAUGCAGUCGGAGAGAUUGAGGUCUGCAGCGUAGAUCCUUCGGGGCUAAAUGCAUUUGUGCUAAGUUAUAGCAUUUAUAGACAACUUGUUGACUAUGAUUUGUCUUGUAGCUUACUCGCUUAUGUUAUUUUACCUACGCUUAGGAUGUUGAUAUCGCGCUCUCACUG